GGCCAGGCGACAAGCAGCGUUGCAGACGAUUAAAAAACCGUUUAUAAAUCAUCGGUUGUCAGUGGCAGUUCCGAGGAAAUGGAACCCCAUGGAAUCUGCAUAUGGGAUGGCAGAAAAUUACAUACUUAACUCGUUUGUUUACGCAGGGAAAUUCAUUUCAAUUAUUAUUAAAAUUUUAUAUUUACAUUUCCAUCGAGCGGUAGAUGGAAAAAAGGGGGCAAGAAAAGCGCGGAGAGCACCUAAGCUGCAAACAAAGAAAGGAAAUCGGGAACUGUUUUUAUAGCCGUAACGUGAUAAAUUGGAAAAACAUAAAAGUAACAUAAAAAAUAUAAAACUAAGGCUAACGCUAAGGGUAGCUUCCAUAUCAUUGUCCCCUGUGUGCUCCCUAGUUAUUGUUAUUGUCCUGAUUCCUCCUCAGUAGAUCUCCUGCUCCUCGAGUUGUGUUCGCCUCGACUGCCUUUUGAUCCAUAUGUGCUUUUGUUCUGAACAAACUGGAAAUUGAAUUUUGUGGCAGUCCCACAGGAUGCUUUUCAUGCUUAUCUGGGGCAAGCGGCCUGUCUCCAGUCCUUGUCCAUUGUCUCUUGUCUUACAAAGUUCUGUAAGCAGUAGAACAAUCCGAAUGGGAACAAUGGUUGGCCCGUGAUUUAUGCCUCAAAGCUACGUUGGAAGAUAGAAUUUCAUUCGAGAUUCAAGGCUAUCGAUCCAGGACUUGCUCCAUCUAAUAUCAAGCUAGUUUUAGGUCAGUUCUUAAUGGAAUUCUGCUGUAUUUUAUAGGGAAAGUGGUUUGAGUUUUAGAUAUUACCAUUAAAUAUAUUUCUAGCGAUCCCUAACUAA